UACGUAGGGGGCAAGCGUUGUCCGGAAUCAUUGGGCGUAAAGCGCGUGUAGGCGGCUUGGUAAGUCCGCUCUGAAAGCCCGGGGCUCAACCUGGGAACCGCGCUUGAGACUGGAGAACUAGAGUUCGGGAGAGGAUGGUGGAAUUCCCAGUGUAGAGGUGAAAUUCGUAGAUAUUGGGAAGAACACCGAUGGCGAAGGCAGCCAUCUGGACCGACACUGACGCUGAGGCGCGAAAGCGUGGGGAGCAAACAGG
rnacentral:rRNA from 1 species